GAUGAACGCUGGCGGCGUGCCUAAUACAUGCAAGUCGAGCGAACAGACGAGGAGCUUGCUCCUCUGACGUUAGCGGCGGACGGGUGAGUAACACGUGGAUAACCUACCUAUAAGACUGGGAUAACUUCGGGAAACCGGAGCUAAUACCGGAUAAUAUAUUGAACCGCAUGGUUCAAUAGUGAAAGACGGUUUUGCUGUCACUUAUAGAUGGAUCCGCGCCGCAUUAGCUAGUUGGUAAGGUAACGGCUUACCAAGGCAACGAUGCGUAGCCGACCUGAGAGGGUGAUCGGCCACACUUGAACUGAGACACGGUCCCGACUCCUACGGGAGGCAGCAGUAGGGAAUCCUCCGCAAUGGGCGAAAGCCUGACGGAGCAACGCCGCGUGAGUGAUGAAGGUCUUCGGAUCGUAAAACUCUGUUAUUAGGGAAGAACAAAUGUGUAAGUAACUAUGCACGUCUUGACGGUACCUAAUCAGAAAGCCACGGCUAACUACGUG
rnacentral:rRNA from 1 species